rnacentral:lncRNA from 1 species
AAGCAAAAUGAAUGGAUCAAGUUGAAAGGUUAAACAGACCUUGGGAGAAGAUCUCGGAGUGGGGCUCACAAGAGGAACCAUGACAAACUGGCAAACUCAGUGUUGCCUUUGAGAGAUUGAAAGCUCAUUGACAGAUGCACUGCAGAAGGGGGAGCAAGGAAACCUAGACUGGGAGGAUGCCAGGGAAAGCACAUUUUACAGAGAGGAAGAAAAGAAGUUCCAACAUCUGGGCCUGCUCGCCGGACAGCAGGAGCAACCAGCUUUGAUGAGGCAAGCAACGGGCAUUCGCUCACCUUCACAAUUUCAAGGAACACGCAACGAGAACAAGUCAGCGCUGUGCGACUGUCGGUCACUUCCUGCUGAAAACUACAGGUUCCCCAGAAACCAAGCCGGUAGAUUGUGCCAGCGAGAUUGGCAUGGCACAAGAGCUGGGGGAAGAGCCUGUGUUGCAGCCGCGAGGCAAUUGACCUCCUUGUUUCCCACAAGACUUCUGUGACUGGAAACCCACCGAAAGCGAAGUUCUUUUCAUGGCAGCUGCGGUCAUCGACAUUGUUGAUCAAGGGGACUAGGGCUGCUGUUGUGCUGACAAUCCUCAAGGAUGGGAGACCAGGCUAGGAGGAUGAGGGUCUGGUGGCUCUGUGCCAUAGUAGAAGAACCGGCACCUCUGCGCAUGCUGCUCCUUGACUCGUGGACCAGAUGUCCGGCCAGACAGAUUGUGCCUGUGCACCAAGCGGCCCACCCAUCAGCUUUCAGGGGCGCUCUUGCUGCAGCAGACAAGGUGGCUUGGCAGAAGGACAGGCCAAGGUGGUCGCAUAUCCCGUGCGGUUUACCAUGCCAGGUGCCCUGGACUGGUUCCCUUGGUGGGAACGUUUACCUGGUACGGGACCAACUGGCGUGCGGCAUCAGUUCGUCUGGACCAGACAUCCAACACGGCAGCCCUUUCACCAGCGCCCGCCCAGGCAGUGACGGGGCCCAACAGGUCCAUCUUGCAGUAGCAAGAUGGACCCUGCAGCUAACGCCAGUCACCAAGAACUGGUUCGUGGGCAACUGGAUGACAGCGGCAAGAUAAAACCUGCAGCCAGCACCAACUACCAACAACCGGUUCCCGGUUCACGAGCGGCUGGAUGAACGCAGCGCAUCAUGACUGCACGGUGCAGGCCCUUUCAUCAGCGCCCGCCCAGAUGGCGACGAGGCCCAACAUAGACUGUGACCCAUGAACAAAGAAGCUCCCCUCAAGGUGACAACGACCACUGGAUUCUGUAAAUGCGGUAACCACCAUGAAGGCCAGGCUUCCCGGGCUGCUGCAAGCGACCGGCAUGGAGAUGCCACUAAUUGAUGCAAGGGGCCAACUUCGAGGACUUACUUCAGUGGGAACUGGGCCGACCUGAGGUUCCCAAUUUGCCACGUGGUUGCAUCGUAUGCAGAGGCGAUCGCACAUCAUUGGAGGCGGAGUACGGCAGAAUGGUGCAAUGUCAUGGGUAGGACAUUGCGAUCGGUUCGAUGAUUGUGACUGGCCGACACACUGUGAUAAAAUUCCCUGGUCUAGUCACCUAGAGAAGAUGACUGUUUUAUAAGCAGACACCUUUGGUGCAGUGAGGGUGUCAUGAUGUGUCCUGAUGUGUGCUGAGACAUUUAGUGGGCUUCCGUAUCUGGAGCCAGUGUAAAUAAUGGGAAAAAAAACUUUUUCUUUCGCUCCUACUCCCGGACGUACUCAUACCUGUGCGUGGAGGAUUCCUGGCCUAUACGCUACCCUGAGCCGCAACAAUUGGC